GGGGGCGAAACGGCUUCGACGGGGAUGAGGAAGCUCUGAUUGCAUGUCGAGCUCCUGUCUGCUCGUAAAACGACGGGAACUAAAGAUAAUCGCAGACGAUUAUAAUUACGCCCUAGCCGCUUAAGGCUAGCGUUCUACCGGACCAUUCCUGCUAAUCCGGAUAGGGCGACGACUUGCAGGAUAGCGGGUCAUGAAUUUCUGCUACAUGACCGGCGAACUUCCAGCAGAAUAGCCUUGUGAGCAUCUUGCCUGAUAGGCACUCGCAAAGGCGAAUACCCAAGUUCAGGCUAAACAUGUAGAUAUCAGUGUGGAAUAUUUUCGGACGCGGGUUCGACUCCCGCCGCCUCCACCA
rnacentral:tmRNA from 1 species